rnacentral:rRNA from 1 species
GACGAACGCUGGCGGCGUGCUUAACACAUGCAAGUCGAACGAAGUGGCGAACGGGUGAGUGACGCGUAAUCAACCUGCCCUUCAGAGGGGGACAACAGUAUGACACGACUACUAAUACCGCAUACUGUAGGAGGGGCUUGCGUCGGAUUGGCAGGUUGGGGGGGGAACGGCCCACCAAGGCGAUGAUCAGUAGCCGGUCUGGAGGGAGGAACGGCCACAUUGGGACUGGGACAAGGGCCCGACCCCCACGGGAGGGAGCAGGGGGGAAACCUCCGGAAAGGAAGAAAGUCUGACGGAGCCACGCCGGGGGGGUGAUGACGGGCUUCGGGUUGUAAAGCUCUGUUAAUCGGGACGCGGUACCGGAAUAGAAAGCCACGGCUAACUACGUGCCAGCAGCCGCGGUAAUAC